UGUCUAGCCAACCAGCUCCACCCAACUUGGACAAAGCUUCUGGUUACAUUUCUAAUACAAAUAAAUAGUCUAAGGUCACCACAUACUACACAGCAGCAGCUAUCUCCUGAAUCACUGCCCAGUUGCCAGCUGCGAUCCUAGCUCCAAAGACUUUAAUGUCCACCGCACAAAGCCAGAAGAAUCUUUGAAUGGUGAUGCUGUCAGGCAACAGCAGAAGAGUUGGUGUUUUGAAGUCAGGCACAGUUCACCCAAGCUUUGGCAUUAAUUUCAUUGGCACAGAGAGAGAAGACAUUGCUGACUGCCAGGAGGAUGUCUGACAUUUGGGGCCAGAAAAUACUUUAUUGUGAGAAGCUGUCCUAUUCAUGUGAGAUGUUCAGCAGCAUGCCUGGCCUUUACCACCUAACUGGAUGCCAUUAGUACCCCUACUAAUUGUGGCAAUCAAAAAUUUUCUAGAUUUGCCAAUUAUAUUCUGCUCAAUCUACCUCCCAGAAGUUGGGGGGCAUUGCCUCUGGUUGAGAACCACUGGUUUAUGCAAUUGUCCUGGCAUUAUCCUUUCACCAUUAAGUUAUCUUGGCACCUU